rnacentral:snRNA from 2 species
AGAUGUGAGGGUGAUCUGGCUGCGACACCUGUCACCCCAUGGAUCAUCAGGGUUGAUUCGGCUGAUCCGGCUGGCUAGGUGGGUAUCCCCUUCCUCCCUCUCUCUCCAAGUACGUCCCUCCCAAAGCUGCGCACUCAAAGAGGAUGACCAUCCCCGAUGGAGGAGGACCCAGCUUUGGUCAAGGAUGUAUGAGUAGCCAUGCUCCCCUGCUAGAACCUCCAAACAAGCUCUCAAGAAUAAGCUAUGUUCUGUCAUAAGGUUUUUCUUUUUUUCUAGCAGCU